AAAAAGUCCCACACUGCAUUUUGCCUUUUUGGGGGGGGUAAAGAAUUGCUAAUGAUUAUGUUUGUCACCAGUUUUAACUGUGUAAUAUUACAGCAUCCAUUGUCCUUCAGAAUAAGGUCGCAUACAGUCCACCGAGACACACACACAAACGGCAUCACAGGGGCUGUUCCCUCUCUUGCUGAGAAACACUCCCUUCACAAACACUCAUCAGAGGGACUCCAGAAGCCUGUCCCUCUCAUGUUGAGACAGACACAGUCUAAUCAGAGGAGCUCCAGGGGCCCAUCCCGCUCAUUCCACUGGUACUCAGCAGAUGGACAAAAGGAGUGUAAUAUCUGCCAGGAAUGAGCUGCCUAAUGUGUCGCCGGGUGCCAGGCAAGAGAGAGUGGCUUUGGGGAUUAAAGAAUCCCGUCUCCAGGGGACGACGGGACAACGGCUGAUGCAGACACGGCUCCUGCUGGAUGGACGAGGAGUCGUGUAAGGAGCUUUGGUGGGGUGACGAGUAUUCAGCUGACAGUCACUGGGGAUUAGUUCCCAGCGCAGCACAGGCAUAAAGAGAGUCUGGCUGUAAAAACAGAUUUCUCUUCCCAUCCUUCAGCGGGCGAUCGCGUGGGUCUUUAAUCUGACUGCCUUCCUCUAUUGCGUUUCAGCUCUCUCAACUUUCCCCACCGCAUCUUAGAAGUCUCGCAAAACUCCAAACUUUGCAUUAAGGACAAGUUGUUUUUAGCAGUACAAUAUCGGUGCAAUUUUUCAUGUUAAAAAGUGUGAUUUAUGAGCAUUAGAGUGCAAAUCAUCAUGCUUAAGCUUGCAUACUUUACUAGGAUUCAUGAAGCAUAGGUAAAUUUUAAAAAUAGCAUCCAAAUGAAGGUAGGUUAUUCUGAGCCUCCAUAUUAGAGCAUAAUUUUUUAGUGGC
ensembl:lncRNA